CUUUCGGGUUCUAGGCAGCCGUGGGCGCUGCGACCUUUCUCUCAUGGUCAGAGGGGCGGGAGCUCUCGGCCUGCGCCGCCUCCGCCGCAUGCUUGGUCGCGGGCUCGCCGGGAAUGGUGACAGCCCGGGCCCCUUCUUGGCCAAAGGAGCCGGGAUUUGUCCAGCUUUUUUAACCAUAACAAGGACCGGGGCCGGGCGCGGUGGCUCACGCCUGUAAUCCCAGCAUUUUGGGAAGUCGAGGCGGACGGAUUGCUUGAGGUCAGGAGUUCGAGACCAGCCUGGCCAACAGGAUGGAGUCUUGCUCCCAUGCUGGAGUGCAGUGGUGUGAUCUCGGCUCACUGUAACCUCCGCCUCCUGGGUUCAAGUGAUUCUCCUGCCUCAGCCUCCGGAGUAGCUGGGAUUACAGCAAAGAUAUCCAGACGCUGUAUGCAGGAAGAACUGAAUUUCAGAGGACACCGUUUGAUCUUCAACAUCUGAUAGUUUACAAAACAGAGACGGGGUGUCGCCACGUUGCCCAGGCUGGUCUCGAACUCUGGAGCUCAAGCGAUCCGCCUGCCUCGGCCUUUCAAAGUGCUGAGACUACAGCCUGAAGAGGAGAGGGGGAAUCCUGGUGAGAAGCAUUUGGAAUUCAAGCUCAGAGAAGAAGACACGGAGUCCCAGCUGAGAACUCGAAUUGGUAGAGGGAAGAUUAUUUUUCCUUCUCUAUAGGUGCUUGGAGGUAACGAGGGGAAAGGAGUUGAAAGGAAGGU
rnacentral:lncRNA from 1 species